rnacentral:sRNA from 1 species
ACUCCCUUGAUCAGAUACCAGCAGCUGUAGUCUCACCAAGAAUAUCCUUGAAUUGGUGUGAAUCAAGUUUAGGACCUGAACAAAGCAUUGAAUAGAAUAACCUGCAAAGGGAGGGAAGUUUACCA